CCAAAAAAGACGACCGUACCGCAAACCGACACUGGUGGGCGAGAUGAAAAUUCUCAGGCGCUUGAGAGAACUCGGUUGAAGGAACUCGGCAAAUUGACACCGUAACUUCGGAAGAAGGUGUGCCGCUAGUAGGUGAAGGUGUACAACUGGAGCCCAACGCGGUUGCAAAAAAUAGGUGGCUGCGACUGUUUAUUAAAAACACAGCACUCUGCAAACACGAAAGUGGACGUAUAGGGUGUGACGCCUGCCCGGUGCCGGAAGGUUAAAUGAUGGGGUGCAAGCUCUUGAUUGAAGCCCCGGUAAACGGCGGCCGUAACAAUAACGGUCCUAAGGUAGCGAAAUUCCUUGUCGGGUAAGUUCCGACCUGCACGAAUGGCGUAACGAUGGCCACACUGUCUCCAACCGAGACUCAGCGAAGUUGAAAUGUUUGUGAUGAUGCAAUCUACCCGCGGCUAGACGGAAAGACCCCGUGCACCUUUACUGUAGCUUUGCAUGGGACUGUGAACCGAUCUGUGUAGGAUAGCUGGGAGGCUUUGAAGCGGGGGCGCUAGCUCUCGUGGAGCCGACGUUGAAAUACCAGCCUGGUUUGUUUGCGGUUCUAACCUACGCUCGUGAAUCCGGGCGGGGGACAGUGCAUGGUAGGCAGUUUGACUGGGGCGGUCUCCUCCCAAAGAGUAACGGAGGAGCUCGAAGGUACGCUAGGCACGGUCGGAAAUCGUGCUGAUAGUGCAAUGGCAUAAGCGUGCUUAACUGCGAGACUGACAAGUCGAGCAGGUGCGAAAGCAGGACAUAGUGAUCCGGUGGUUCUGUAUGGAAGGGCCAUCGCUCAACGGAUAAAAGGUACGCCGGGGAUAACAGGCUGAUGACCCCCAAGAGUUCAUAUCGACGGGGUCGUUUGGCACCUCGAUGUCGGCUCAUCUCAUCCUGGGGCUGUAGCCGGUCCCAAGGGUAUGGCUGUUCGCCAUUUAAAGAGGUACGUGAGCUGGGUUUAAAACGUCGUGAGACAGUUUGGUCCCUAUCUGCCGUGGGCGUUGGAUGUUUGAAGGGGGCUGCUCCUAGUACGAGAGGACCGGAGUGGACGAACCUCUGGUGUACCGGUUGUGACGCCAGUCGCAUCGCCGGGUAGCUAAGUUCGGAAGAGAUAACCGCUGAAAGCAUCUAAGCGGGAAACUCGCCUUAAGAUGAGACAUUCCGGGGACUUGAUCCCCCUAAAGGGUCGCGGAAGACCACCGCGUUGAUAGGUCGGGUGUGGAAGCGCAGUAAUGCGUUAAGCUAACCGAUACUAAUUGCCCGUGAGGCUUGACUCA
rnacentral:rRNA from 1 species